rnacentral:rRNA from 1 species
UACGUAGGGACCAAGCGUUGUUCGGAUUUACUGGGCGUAAAGGGCGCGUAGGCGGCGUGUUAAGUCAGCUGUGAAAUCUCCAAGCUUAACUUGGAACGGUCAGCUGAUACUGAUGUGCUAGAGUGCAGAAAGGGCAAUCGGAAUUCUUGGUGUAGCGGUGAAAUGCGUAGAUAUCAAGAGGAACACCUGAGGCGAAGGCGGGUUGCUAGGCUGACACUGACGCUGAGGCGCGAAAGCGUGGGGAGCGAACAGG